rnacentral:rRNA from 1 species
UAAGCAUAUCAAUAAGCGGAGGAAAAGAAACCAACCGGGAUUGCCCUAGUAACGGCAAGUGAAGCGGCAAGAGCUCAAAUUUGAAAGCUGGCCCCCUCGGGGUCCGCAUUGUAAUUUGUAGAGGAUGCUUCGGGAGCGGUCCCCAUCUAAGUGCCCUGGAACGGGCCGUCAUAGAGGGUGAGAAUCCCGUAUGGGAUGGGGUGCCCGCGCCCGUGUGAAGCUCCUUCGACGAGUCGAGUUGUUUGGGAAUGCAGCUCUAAUUGGGUGGUAAAUUUCAUCUAAAGCUAAAUAUUGGCCGGAGACCGAUAGCGCACAAGUAGAGUGAUCGAAAGAUGAAAAGCACUUUGAAAAGAGAGUUAAACAGCACGUGAAAUUGUUGAAAGGGAAGCGCUUGCGAUCAGACUCGCUCGCGGGGUUCAGCCGGCCUUCGGGCCGGUGUACUUCCCCGCGGGCGGGCCAGCGUCGGUUUGGGCGGCCGGUCAAAGGCCCCUGGAAUGUAACGCCUCUCGGGGCGUCUUAUAGCCAGGGGUGCCAUGCGGCCUGCCCGGACCGAGGAACGCGCUUCGGCUCGGACGCUGGCAUAAUGGUCGUAAGCGACCCGUCUUGAAACACGGACCAAGGAGUCUAACAUCUACGCGAGUGUUCGGGUGUCAAACCCGUGCGCGCAGUGAAAGCGAACGGAGGUGGGAACCCCUCGGGGUGCACCAUCGACCGAUCCUGAAGUCUUCGGAUGGAUUUGAGUAAGAGCGUAGCUGUUGGGACCCGAAAGAUGGUGAACUAUGCCUGAAUAGGGCGAAGCCAGAGGAAACUCUGGUGGAGGCUCGCAGCGGUUCUGACGUGCAAAUCGAUCGUCAAAUUUGGGUAUAGGGGCGAAAGACUAAUCGAACCAUCUAGUAGCUGGUUCCUGCCGAAGU